ensembl:lncRNA
CUAAUAUCAUCAGCGGCAUUAUGCUAGCUUACAUCCCUACCCCUCCUGCCCUCACCUGCUGUCCUUUUGUUUUUGUUUUUUUUGCUGCACAUUGAGAGAUGACCUCUAUUCUGCAUUUCACCAGGAGUCAGCUGAUGGAUUGUGGGUUCAAGGUGUUAUGAUAAAAUGCAGCAUUCCAGUGCAUCCCAACCAUGCCUUUACAGUCAAGGUUUCUGACGGAGCUGAGUUUUUCUCUGACAGUCUGCUGAAAGUGUUUGCAAAGUGAUCAGGGGAACAGGGCACAAAGCUAAAGGAUGUAGCUGCCAUAAUGACAUCAAGGAUGACAUUAAUGCUCGGAGUCCCUCAUCAAAGUGCUCCGCAUCUGUGUGAAAGACAAUUGCAACAUCUUGGUGCAGGAGUUCAUGGACUUGACUGAGGCCACUGCACAGAUUGAGAAAACCACAAUGAACAUCUGUCUCCAGAGGAUGCGGCAGGCAAUGACUUUUCUGAUGUUGUUCUUCAAGAUCUGGAUAACGUGACCUUUGCAGUAGCCAUGCUGUUUGGACCUUUUUUAUUCCUUCAACAUGAGUUACCCAUCACAACUCUGCUACACUUUUGAGGUGAUUCAAUGGGUGGUAAUGGAGUUGGAUGCAACUCAGCUCUCAAGAAAAGCUCACAACUAAGACAAAACUGCUCCUGCAACGAAGCUCAC